AUUGAACGCUGGCGGCAGGCCUAACACAUGCAAAGUCGAGCGGUAACAGAAAGUAGCUUGCUACUUGCUGACGAGCGGCGGACGGGUGAGUAAUGCUUGGGAACAUGCCUUGAGGUGGGGGACAACAGUUGGAAACGACUGCUAAUACCGCAUAAUGUCUACGGACCAAAGGGGGCUUCGGCUCUCGCCUUUAGAUUGGCCCAAGUGGGAUUAGCUAGUUGGUGAGGUAAUGGCUCACCAAGGCGACGAUCCCUAGCUGGUUUGAGAGGAUGAUCAGCCACACUGGGACUGAGACACGGCCCAGACUCCUACGGGAGGCAGCAGUGGGGAAUAUUGCACAAUGGGCGCAAGCCUGAUGCAGCCAUGCCGCGUGUGUGAAGAAGGCCUUCGGGUUGUAAAGCACUUUCAGUCAGGAGGAAAGGUUAGUAGUUAAUACCUGCUAGCUGUGACGUUACUGACAGAAGAAGCACCGGCUAACUCCGUGCCAGCAGCCGCGGUAAUACGGAGGGUGCGAGCGUUAAUCGGAAUUACUGGGCGUAAAGCGUACGCAGGCGGUUUGUUAAGCGAGAUGUGAAAGCCCCGGGCUCAACCUGGGAACUGCAUUUCGAACUGGCAAACUAGAGUGUGAUAGAGGGUGGUAGAAUUUCAGGUGUAGCGGUGAAAUGCGUAGAGAUCUGAAGGAAUACCGAUGGCGAAGGCAGCCACCUGGGUCAACACUGACGCUCAUGUACGAAAGCGUGGGGAGCAAACGGG
rnacentral:rRNA from 1 species